GCCUCAGUGGCACAGUUCGGUAGCGCACCGCCUUGGUAAGGCGGAGGUCGAGGGUUCAAAUCCCUUCUGAGGCU
rnacentral:tRNA from 1 species